rnacentral:rRNA from 1 species
UUCCGGUUGAUCCUGCCAGAGGUUACUGCUAUCGAGGUUCGACUAAGCCAUGCGAGUCGAAUGUAGCAAUACAUGGCGUACUGCUCAGUAGCACGUGGACAACCUGCCCUUAGGUCGGGUAUAAACCCGGGAAACUGGGUAUAAUCCCCGAUAGGUCUCGGCUGCUGGAAUGCAUCGAGAUUGAAAGCUCCGGCGCCUAAGGAUGGGUCUGCGGCCUAUCAGGUAGUAGUGGGUGUAGCGUACCUACUAGCCUACGACGGGUACGGGUUGUGAGAGCAAGAGCCCGGAGAUGGAUUCUGAGACACGAAUCCAGGCCCUACGGGGUGCAGCAGGCGCGAAAACUUUACAAUGCUGGCAACAGCGAUAAGGGAACCUCGAGUGCCAGGUUACAAAUCUGGCUGUCGAGAUGCCUAAAAAGCAUUUCAUAGCAAGGGCCGGGCAAGACCGGUGCCAGCCGCCGCGGUAACACCGGCGGCUCGAGUGGUAACCGUUAUUAUUGGGUCUAAAGGGUCUGUAGCCGGCCGGAUAAGUCUCUUGAGAAAUCUGGCAGCUUAACUGUCAGGCUUUCAGGAGAUACUGUCUGGCUCGAGGCCGGGAGAGGUGAGAGGUACUUCAGGGGUAGGGGUGAAAUCUUGUAAUCCUUGAAGGACCACCAGUGGCGAAGGCGUCUCACCAGAACGGACCUGACGGCAAGGGACGAAAGCUAGGGGCACGAACCGGAUUAGAUACCCGGGUAGUCCUAGCCGUAAACGAUACUCGCUAGGUGUCGGCCACGGUGCGACCGUUGUCGGUGCCGUAGGGAAGCCGUGAAGCGAGCCACCUGGGAAGUACGGCCGCAAGGCUGAAACUUAAAGGAAUUGGCGGGA